AUGGAGGAGCAGCGCGGCAAGUUCCUCGUGCUGCGCCUCUACGAGGCGCUUAACUCCCGCAACACACGCCGGGCGCAGGACCUGCUCGCCCCAGACCUCGAGUGGUGGUUCCAUGGCCCGCCCGCGCACCAGCACAUGAUGCGCCUCCUCACCAGUGCCGGCACCAACACCGAGUUCAGGUUCUGCCCCCGCUCCAUCGACGCCUUCGUCUCCACCGUAAUCGCCGAGGGGAGCGCCGACGGCGCCGACCAGCUCCUCUACUGGGUGCACGCCUGGACCGUCGGGCCCGAUGGGGUGAUCACCCAGCUCAGGGAGUACUUCAACACCGACCUCACCGUCACCCGCCUCUCCGCCGCGGCGGCCACCAAGAACGUCAGUGCGGGCUCCCCUAGCCACUUCUCCUCUUCUUCUGCCUCUUCCUCCCCCUCCUCGUCCACGUUCUCGGGCCUCUCCUCGCCGGCGCACACGCCCAAGUGGCCCAAGUGCCUGUGGCAGAGCCGCCGCAGCAACCGCGUGUGCAAGUCGCUGCAGGGCCUCGUCCUCGCCAUCUAA
rnacentral:rRNA from 1 species